rnacentral:lncRNA from 1 species
UUUUGCAUGUCCUGAAAAUAGAUCCCACCUGCGACUCUGGUAACAAACAGAACGGAGAUAUUUAGGUUUUUGCAAAUGUUUACACCCUCCCGUAACGAUGUUUGCCUGUUCCUCUGGGCGCUCCCUGUUCCAUUUCAUGUUACUCUCCCUCGAGCCCAAGCUGGAAUGCAGGAGAAGGAAAAGGCACGACUUCAGAUGUUCCCCAUGGUCAUUCCUCACCCCAGCCCACCCCACCAGCAUUCCUAAGCAAGUGUUCUCUGGCUGCUCCCGCAUGCAAGAUCUUCCGCCAACGAUGUUUUUACUUUUACCUUUAGAUAUGUCCAAAUGGUCUAAGAAGAGAUGUUAG